AAGUCGUAACAAGGUUUCCGUAGGUGAACCUGCGGAAGGAUCAUUAUUGAACUAAGUCGGAUUCGAUGCUGGCCCUUAACCCGGGCAUGUGCUCGUCCUUCAUUUUUCUAACCUUCUUUAUGUGCACAUUUGUAUGCCCCUGAGUAACGAGCGCCUCUCGCAGCAAUGCGGUUUGCUUGGGACUGACGGCCUGGUCGUCUUUCCUGCAAUGCUCUCUGGGGGCUACGUUUUUAUAUACAAGUCAGUUAUAGAAUGUCUUUUAAUGACUGUUGCCUAGCGCAUGGUCUUAAACAAUUACAACUUUCAGCAACGGAUCUCUUGGCUCUCCCAUCGAUGAAGAACGCAGCGAAAUGCGAUAAGUAAUGUGAAUUGCAGAAUUCAGUGAAUCAUCGAAUCUUUGAACGCACCUUGCGCCCUUUGGUAUUCCGAAGGGCAUGCCUGUUUGAGUGUCAUUAAAUUAUCAACCUUGCUCGCUUUUACCGGCUUGAGCUGAGGCUUGGACGUGGGGGGUUUUUGCUGGCUUCCUUCAGUGGAUGGUCUGCUCCCCUUAAAUUCAUUAGCGGGAUCUCUUGUGGACCGUCACUUGGUGUGAUAAUUAUCUAUGCCGCUUGACCUUGAAGCAAAUUUAUGGGACCCUGCUUAUAACCGUCUCUUACCGGGACAAUUUAAUAACAUCUUGACCUCAAAUCAGGUAGGACUACCCGCUGAACUUAAGCAUAUCAAUAAGCGGAGGAAAAGAAACUAACAAGGAUUCCCCUAGUAACUGCGAGUGAAGCGGGAAAAGCUCAAAUUUAAAAUCUGGCGGUCCUUGUGGCCGUCCGAGUUGUAAUUUAGAGAA
rnacentral:misc_RNA from 1 species